rnacentral:misc_RNA from 1 species
ACAAACUUGGUCAUUUAGAGGAAGUAAAAGUCGUAACAAGGUUUCCGUAGGUGAACCUGCGGAAGGAUCAUUAUCAGUAUAAAAUUAAAGCUUUAGCUUUAAUUUUUACUCCUUCAUCCUAUGAUUAAUUUACCACAGUUGCUUUGGUUGAAUCAGUUGAAUUAAUUUCAACGAUCAGUUUUGAACUGAUUAGUUAUUCAACCAAUAGCCUUAAUUCAAACUCUUGUUUAAAAUAUAAUGUCUGAACAAUUAAAUCUUAAAAAUUUAAUUAAAACUUUCAACAACGGAUCUCUUGGUUCUGGCAUCGAUGAAGAACGCAGC